CUGGAUGUGAAUGUAAAAAAGAGAGCUACUGGAAAGAUUUAGUUUCUUAAAUAAUUGAUUUUCCUAAAACAUUGGGUAAAUUUUUAUUUUUGACCAGUAAUCUUAAAGAGUGGAAGAACUUUGUGAGUGGUAGUAAACCACGUGCCUAUGCUCAGCCUGGGGCCCACUUCCCCUGGUCUCACUGGGGAAGAACCUAGACAGUACUCUUUAUAUUAAUAUGCUCAUUCCUUCCUUUAGAUAAAUGGUUAGUUUGGGAGAAAAAGAAUCAGAUAGUAUUUAUUUCUGGAUACUUUAAUGGGAUCCUGCCAGGAAAUUUUACAUUUGAACAUUUGAGCUUUGUUAAACCAAAGGAAUUAAUGUGUAACUGGUAGAAUGGCACAGGAAAUGUCAAAUAUGCACCUUACACGCUGAGCAAGUGUGGAAUUACACAGCUGUGAGUAAUAGAGACCUCACACCCCACCUUCUCUCCCACCAAAAAGCCUGAUUGCUUAAAUAAAGUCAAAGUCAUUUUUAUUCUAAUCAAAGGCAGGAUGUAGACAGGUGGUCCAGGACUGGUAUGAGGACUUGAGAAGAAACAGAGGAUUUAGGCUUCUGCUUCUUCAUCUUUAGCAUGUGUCUCUUACCCUGAUUCUCCCAAAGUGGCAUCCAGAGACUAAGCCAAUCUGGCCUAAAGGGGUAAGGAAAUGGGCGAAGUGAACACAUUCCAGUUGCAGAUGUUUUAAUUGGUGCAUUAUAAUUAUACACAACAGAGCGAUUCAUAUGCCAUAUUCAUAUAUGCACAUAAGUUGAUCAAUCUCAUUCCCCAGUUCCUUCCCUUUUGUUCCCCCUCCUCCCUCCUUCUGAUCUGCUUCCUCUACUUCACUGAUCUCCCUUCUGUUAUUAUUACUAAUUUAAUUGAUACAUUAUAUUUAAACGUGGGUUUCAUUGUGGUGGUAAUUGUAUUUCCC
rnacentral:lncRNA from 1 species